ACAUCCGUCUUUCACGCGCCCAAUCAGGAAUGUGCAGUGGGAGGUACUACGGUCUGAUUACUAGAUGUCUUUAGUCCUGGUUGAUCCGGGGUUUUGAAGUUUUCGGUUAAGCAGAUCCACAGAGUUGCAGAACUCAAGAGAUCAGAGUUUUGGGUCAGAAAAACUUGUUACUUAACUGAAAUAUCCGGGCGGGGCAGAAAUAGAAGGAUGGAAUUGGCCUGUUUUAAUCUGCCGGAUGUAAAAUAUGGAGAGGGUGGUUUUGCUCUCUGUGUAUCCUUCAGGCAAAGGGUAGUACGACAUUAAUUUUUAAAAGGAAUAAAGAAUGCAGAUUUUGAUUUAGUAAGCCUUGGUGGAGCAUGAGAGUCUACAGUUUUAACAAACUCCGAAGUGAUACAGAUUAUUCUGGUCAGAAGACAACCCUAAGUUAUACAAGAGUGGUAGGAAACAUCGCUCCCUACCCAAAGGGAACUCACCAUAUCCAGGAGGUCCAUAAAGAAAAGUCCGAGAUAAGCCAAUUUGUAUUACCCUAAUCUAAACAAGCUUCAGUAUGAAAAGUAUAAUGGAACAUGUUAAUGCUCUUAAUUAACAAUGCACAGCAGACUGGGACAAAUUUGAGGUCAGAGUUUUUAACUUUUGUGCCACAGACCACUUUGGCAGUCUGGUGAAGCCAUGGACUCUUCUAAGAAUGUUUCUAAAUGUAUAAAAUAAAAUUCAUAGCAGUAGUUAUAAUGUGAUACAAAGUAUCUCAUUCCUAGUGGUGAUACAGACGUAGGUAUAGCUGUUUGUUGCUUACAUUCAAAAUUGAAGGAAAUGCUAAAUUUCAGUUAGAGAUUAGUAAAAAUAAAGAUGUAUUUUUUUUUUCUCCCAUCCAAGUUCACAUACUUCCUGGAUUCUAUCCAUGAACUUCAUGAUAAAAAAUUUUAGGUAAAGUCUAGUGGGCUUAUUCCUCUUAGUAAGCCUUGAGGGGAUUGUGAAAUAUUAACAUACAGUUAUAAUUUAUAUCCAUAACAAUAGUGAUUCAUUAAAAAAAAGUUUAAUUACUACCAGUAUACUCUCAUUAAGAAUGCGUGGAAGUACAUAACAGUAUUAGGAAAUAGUUGUAUCCAAUUUGUUGAUUUUAUUUAUUUUUUAAACUAUAUCUAUAAUCAUACCCUAUGGAAAACUUUCCUAUCCAGAUGACUCAUUUCCCAAGCGUUCUGGUAACUUAUGUUUUACUAUAUCAUUCUUAUUUAUUACAUGCCUUUGCAAAUAAGAUGUGGAAGAACUGCAAAAUGAAAAUAAUAGCCAAAGAUUAAAUUAAAAUACUGUAUAAAUUUCUUAAUAAGUGUUAAUAAUUAUUAUUUGAAGUACUAUGUGUGGGGUCUUUUAAUUCAUUAUCUUAUGAAAUCUCCAUUACAUAGAUGAAACACUCAAGAUCUGAAAAUUAUUAACUGGUAGAGUCAGGAUUUAAACCUAGGCAGUAUGAUCUCAAAGCUCACACUCAACCAGUAAGCUGUUUGAUUAUUUUUUAGUCCUUUGACUAAUAGCCAAUAUUAAUUUGCCUAAUAGUGCAACAAGUAUAUAUUUGCUGCCUCAAUUAUGCAUUUCUUAGUAUUCCAAGUAGAAUUGCACCCAGUGACUGAAAGGAAUUUUUUAAAUUCUUCCUUUGCAGCAAUAUUGCUUAUAAGAUCCAACACCACCUUUAAGUAAGUGGGUGACCAUUUGGGGCUGGAAAAUUGUUUUGCAGAGAUUUUUGUUGCAAUGGAGUUUUGCUUGGAAAAAUCCACUUAUGCCUUUCCCUGCCCUACAGACAUACUUUCUCAUCUGAAAUUAAACCUGUUUUAUAAUGGUGCCACUAUAUUUUUAUGUUGGCCACUGUCAAGAUUGUAUACAAGAAAUGAUGACAUAUAAAUAAAUGCUAAUAUAUGAAAGUCUAGAUUAUAUAUGCCUGGAGACAAGUGAUUGUGUAAUCCCAAUUUUUUAUUUGGCACUGAAGUGAAUUUAUUGGUUGAUUACACCUUCUAUUUAUUUGCUUGUAGUUACACUAGCAAACUUAACAAUUUUACUCAAUUUUGUUAGGGGUAAAAUUAAAAGGAACAUGACCUAGAAGCAUUUUGAUGCUUUAGGGCAGCCUAGGGUUAGCUGAAAAUUUAAAACACUAUUUACAUAUCUAGUGUUAGAACUCACUUUACAGUUGCAUAUAAAGUUAAAAUUGACUUUCAUUAAUUUGACUAUUUGAAUUACAGUGGUUGAAAUGUCUCUAUCUGAUAAAAAGGAAAGACAUGUUUUUUAUAUUACAGUCUUACAAAGGGCUAAAAAGGUUUUAUAUAUGAAAAAACAUAGACAUUCAAAAAUUAAUACAGAUACAAAAAUGUUGAAAAGAUGAGUUUUAAAAAAUCCUUCUUAGUGAAUAUUGAAGUCUCAAAAACUUUCUAGUUAUGGUAGAUCAGAUCUUGCGUGAAUUCAUGUAAAACACAACAAAAUAUAAAGAAUCAAGAAGAUUAGUAUAAAAGUGGCAAUGAAGUAAGUAAUAAAUAACUAAUGAAAAUGUGUCAAAGUCCUAAUGUUAUGUGAACAUAUCAGCAAAGCCACAUAAUUAUAAAAACCUUAGUACUGGGGUUAAUUAAAAUGUACUUGUGAAUAAAUACAGUUAACAUAGAUUGAUACGUAUACUUAGGUUUAUGGAGUCCGUAUUGUCAGAUCUUUGUAACUUUGUCAUGGAAUUUUAUAACUUGCUAAGGAUACUGGCUUGCUAGGAUACUGGCUCUAACACACUGUAUGCCAUUUUAUUAGUUUAAUUAAAUUGUAAAUGCUGUGGUCCAGAA